rnacentral:rRNA from 1 species
CUUUAUUGGAGAGUUUGAUCCUGGCUCAGGAUGAACGCUGGCGGCGUGCCUAAUACAUGCAAGUCGAGCGAACUUCAUAAGAGCUUGCUCUUAUGAAGUUAGCGGCGGACGGGUGAGUAACACGUGGGUAACCUGCCCAUAAGACUGGGAUAACUC